rnacentral:rRNA from 1 species
GACGUAGGGCGCGAGCGUUGUCCGGAUUUAUUGGGCGUAAAGAGCUCGUAGGCGGUCUGUUGCGUCGGCUGUGAAAACCCGGGGCUCAACCCCGGGCCUGCAGCCGAUACGGGCAGACUAGAGUUCGGCAGGGGAGACUGGAAUUCCUGGUGUAGCGGUGAAAUGCGCAGAUAUCAGGAGGAACACCGGUGGCGAAGGCGGGUCUCUGGGCCGAUACUGACGCUGAGGAGCGAAAGCGUGGGGAGCGAACAGG